rnacentral:lncRNA from 1 species
GAGUAAAGGUUGGGCAUGUUUGCUAGUCUACCUUGCCACGAAGCACAGAGGUUGACACACAGGGACUUUCCAAUUAUCCAGCAGUGGUACUGUUCCUUUACCCUCUCUUCGAUUUUUGAGAAAGUAAUCAUGUUGGGAGUCUGGCUCUCGAGAUUCGGAGGGCGGUGCCUCUUCGAUUUUGGAGCAAGCAAUCUUGUUGGGAGUGUUUUCUCGAAUGUGAGUAAAGGUUGGGCAUGUUUGCUAGUCUACCUUGCCACAAAGCACAAAGGUUGACACAAAGGGACUUUCCAAUUAUCCAGCAGUGGUAAUGUUCCUUUACCCUUUCUUCGAUUUUUGAGAAAGUAAUCAUGUUGGGAGUCUGGCUCUCGAGGUUCGGAGGGCGGUGCCUCUUCGAUUUUGGAGCAAGCAAUCCUGUUGGGAGUGUUUUCUCGAAUGUGAGUACAGGUUGGGCAUGUUUGCUAGUCUACCUUG